CUCUUCUUGAAUUAAUAGGAAGUAGGAUCUGCUCCAUGCGAAGGUAAAUUGCCGCAGUAUCUUGACUGUGCUAAGGUAGCAAAAUAAUUUGGCUCUUCAUUGGAGUCUGGAAUGAAUGAUCUGACAAGGUCUAGACUGUCUCACUUACAAAAAUGGAAAUUGGAUUGUUUGUAAAAAUACAAACGUAAUGGAGAGGGACGAAAAGACCCUAUAGAUCUUCACUUUACUUGUUCAAUAUACUUUGAGUUCUGAACAAGUAAAGUUUACUUGGGAUAAGGCUAAAAGUGAAUUUUGGUAAAAGAUAAAGAUGGAUUAAUCGAAAAAAAGAUUAAACAGAAGAAAAGUUACCUUAGGGAUAACAGGAUAAUUUCUUUGCUUAGAACUUAUAAGCAAAGAAGUUUAUUACCUCGAUGUUGAAUUAAGUUUUCUUUCACUUGAAGAAGAGUGGGGAGUCAGUCUGUUCGACUGUUAAAAACUU
rnacentral:rRNA from 2 species